CAGGAGAUAGAGUGCAGGGUUGGUAUGGGUAUUAUGCAUUACAUAUACUGAUUCUGAUAUUGUGAUGGGCUUAGGCCCAGAUAUAUGUGAUAUGUGUCAUUUGUUAUGGGCUCUGCCCUAACCGAGACUGAUAGAGGCUAAGGCCAUUUCCCACCAUUACCGUAAUGGGCUAAGGCCCACACUGAUACUGUUACUAUUAAUGGCUCAGGCCUAGAUUGAUUAUGUUUCUUUAAUAAAGGGAUUACACACUGAGUUUUCAUAAACUCACCCCAUUUUUAACCUUUCAGGUAAUCUC
rnacentral:lncRNA from 1 species